rnacentral:rRNA from 1 species
UGAGUGGAGCUUGCUCCAUGAUUCAGCGGCGGACGGGUGAGUAAUGCCUAGGAAUCUGCCUGGUAGUGGGGGACAACGUUUCGAAAGGAACGCUAAUACCGCAUACGUCCUACGGGAGAAAGUGGGGGAUCUUCGGACCUCACGCUAUCAGAUGAGCCUAGGUCGGAUUAGCUAGUUGGUGGGGUAAAGGCUCACCAAGGCGACGAUCCGUAACUGGUCUGAGAGGAUGAUCAGUCACACUGGAACUGAGACACGGUCCAGACUCCUACGGGAGGCAGCAGUGGGGAAUAUUGGACAAUGGGCGAAAGCCUGAUCCAGCCAUGCCGCGUGUGUGAAGAAGGUCUUCGGAUUGUAAAGCACUUUAAGUUGGGAGGAAGGGCAGUAAGUUAAUACCUUGCUGUUUUGACGUUACCGACAGAAUAAGCACCGGCUAACUUCGUGCC